GUACUGAUGAAGAGUCCCAAAGUAGGACGAAACAGCUGGCUGUCCAGUAC
rfam:Trichobilharzia regenti genome assembly, scaffold: TRE_scaffold0045563